rnacentral:rRNA from 1 species
UACGGAGGGAGCUAGCGUUGUUCGGAAUUACUGGGCGUAAAGCGCACGUAGGCGGCUUUGUAAGUUAGAGGUGAAAGCCCGGGGCUCAACUACGGAACUGCCUUUAAGACUGCAUCGCUUGAAUCCGGGAGAGGUGAGUGGAAUUCCGAGUGUAGAGGUGAAAUUCGUAGAUAUUCGGAAGAACACCAGUGGCGAAGGCGGCUCACUGGACCGGUAUUGACGCUGAGGUGCGAAAGCGUGGGGAGCAAACAGG